GUGUAGCUCAGUGGUAGAGUGCUUGCCUAACAUGUGUGAGGUCCUGGGUUCAAUCCCCAGUAAAACACA
rnacentral:tRNA from 1 species